rnacentral:rRNA from 1 species
CAGUCGCCGCGGUAAUACAGAGGGUGCAAGCGUUAAUCGGAUUUACUGGGCGUAAAGCGUGCGUAGGUGGCUGUUUAAGUCGGAUGUGAAAGCCCUGGGCUUAACCUGGGAACUGCAUUCGAUACUGGAUAGCUAGAGAUCGGUAGAGGGCAGCGGAAUUCCGGGUGUAGCGGUGAAAUGCGUAGAUAUCCGGAGGAACACCGAUGGCGAAGGCAACUGCCUGGGCCUGAUCUGACACUGAGGCACGAAGGCGUGGGUAGCAAACAGGAUUAGAUACCCGGGUAGUCCCUGUCUCUUAUAC